rnacentral:rRNA from 1 species
AGAACGCAGCGAAGUGCGAUAAGCAAUGCGAAUUGCAGAGCCGAGAGUCAUCAGAUUUUUGAACGUAACUGACACCGGAGGGUACUCUCUUCGGUAUGCUUCUUUCAGUGUGUGAUUCUCUCAUCACCCAAACCUUAAUGCGAUAGAUGCCCU